AUCGUGUUGUUCGGAAAGCUCAUACUACCCGAGGAGCAGAAAGGGUCAGAGAAGACGCAGCUUUCAUCAGGCGGAUCGAACCAGAACUGUGUUGUGGGUUCUUCAUCAGAAGAAGGAUCACCUUGCUCCAAAAAAGCUCAUGAUGGAUUGGGUUUGGAGACGGGGCAUUGUAAAGUGUUUAUGGAGUCGGACGAUGUUGGUCGGACGUUAGACCUGUCGGUUCUUGGCUCGUACGAAGAGUUGGGUAUGAAGCUCUCUGACAUGUUUGGUAUUCAAAAGUCUGAGAUGUUGAGCUCUGUUCUCUAUAGGGAUGCAUCAGGAGCAGUCAAGUACCCAGGAAACGAACCUUUCAGGUAAAAACAAGAAGCAGAGUUUUGUAUAUAAAUGUCCUAAUCUGUGGAGAUUGAGUUAAGCAUCUGAUUAGUAAAUAAAUGUUUGCAGUGAGUUCUUGAAGACAGCUCGGAGAUUGACGAUUCUGUCUGAGCAAGGAAGCGAGAGCGUUGUGGUAUAAGAAUGAAUCAGUGUGUUUUCUUGGAGCUUGGAAGUCAAAGCUUGAAGUUUCUGUUUAUUUUUCUUUGUUUAAAAAUAUUUAUUUUGGUUCCAUUAUUUUGGUUUAUGUAAUUUACGAAAUAUACAGUCAUUCUAUUUGCAAAUAAAAUAGAUUCAUCUUUUCUUGAUAUGAUGUCACUUUAUUUACAAAAUCUAAAGCUAAUGAUUAUAGCUUGGUAAAACUAAAACCUAGAGACUCAAGCUAAUCUUUGUAUUGCUUUUCUUUUUGAUUCCCUUGUCUACCUUUGGAUUGCAAGAUCUGGUGAACCUUGGUUUAAUAUAGUUGAAUAGUUAGAUUGCUGAUUGUAGUUGAUACUUGUAUAUGCAUUUAACUUGUAAGUUGGAAGUAGUGUACAAAGAAGAUAAUCAAUAUAAGAGAUUAUUUUGAAGCUCUCUUGUUUCUCUCAUCUUCUUCCUCUUGUAGAUUCGUUUUACAUAGGAGCCUCAUAUAGUAUCUUACUGAAGUAAACGUUGGUUGCAUGGCUUAGUCUACAGGUUCAUGUGUUCAGGUAACCCCUUCCGCAAGUUGCCUUAUUUUCAAAAAUUAGAUAAAUUGCUUAAAAUAUUAUUAAAAAUACAUUCAUCAAAAAUCUAUUAAUAUUUGGGUUUAAGGUUUGGUGAGUAUUGUUUAGAGUUUAAUAUCUAAGGGGUGGGACUGGGUUUAUAAAUUUCUAUAAAUAAUUUUUAAACAUUUUUAAAUGAUUUAGAAUGGUUAGUUUAGUUUUUUUUAUCACAAAUUCAAGGUAUUUAUGAAAAUUUUCAUCCUUUAAAGUUAAAUUUGAAAAAUGAUAUUAAAUUUAAAGUUAAAUUAGAAUUUCCCUGUAUUCUUUACUUGUAAUCCAAGAAAGGCUCAAGGUUGCAUUUUGUGUGUUUCAGGUGGCGUGGGAUGAGCCGGAUCUACUCCAAAACGUGAAGCGGGUUAACCCGUGGUUGGUCGAGUUGGUAUCCAACGUACAUCCGAUAAUCCCUUCGUUUUCGCCACCUAGGAAAAAGAUGAGGCUACCUCAGCAUCCGGAUUACAACACUCGGAUCUCAGUACCUUCAUUCGCAAGCAACCCUCUUAUCAGAUCUGUUCUGGACAAUGUUCCCGUGGGUUUACAGGGAGCCAGGCAUAAUGCUCAUCAGUACUACGGGCUAUCAUCUUCUGAUCUCCACCAUUACUACUUAAACCGACCUCAUCCUCCUCCAUCAUCAACUCUCUCUGUUCCUCCACCUCUAGGGUUUCGAAACAUCGAUAGCAAAAACGAGAAAGGGUUCUGUUUCUUGACCAUGGGGACAUCACCGUGUAAUGAUACAGAAUCUAAGAAGUCACACAUCGUGUUGUUCGGAAAGCUCAUACUACCCGAGGAGCAGAAAGGGUCAGAGAAGACGCAGCUUUCAUCAGGCGGAUCGAACCAGAACUGUGUUGUGGGUUCUUCAUCAGAAGAAGGAUCACCUUGCUCCAAAAAAGCUCAUGAUGGAUUGGGUUUGGAGACGGGGCAUUGUAAAGUGUUUAUGGAGUCGGACGAUGUUGGUCGGACGUUAGACCUGUCGGUUCUUGGCUCGUACGAAGAGUUGGGUAUGAAGCUCUCUGACAUGUUUGGUAUUCAAAAGUCUGAGAUGUUGAGCUCUGUUCUCUAUAGGGAUGCAUCAGGAGCAGUCAAGUACCCAGG
rnacentral:lncRNA from 1 species